UAAGGUGGUUCCAGGCUGCCAAUACAAACUAGUAAAUGUAGAUGGUGAUGGCAUUGGAGAAGUGUGUUUCUGGGGCCGCAAUAUCUUCAUGGGAUUCCUCAACCUGAAGGAUAAAACAAAGGAGGCUUUGGAUGAAGAUGGAUGGCUUGGGAAAGGUAGAUGAAAAUGGCUUUCUUUACAUCACUGGAAGAAUAAAAGAGCUUAUAAUCACGGCUGGAGGAGAGAACAUUCCCCCACUUCCCAUAGAGGAUGCUGUUAAACAGGAGUUGCCAAUCAUCAGCAAUGCCAUGUUGAUUGGAGACAAGAGGACAUUUCUGUCCAUGCAUUUUGAAUUUCGGGUCAAUUCAAAAGCAACCUCAAAUGCCCAUCGCAUUCAAAAAUGGACCAUAUUAGGGAAAGAUUUCUCAAUUGUUGGAGGAGAACUAGGUCCUACAAUGAAACUACGUCGCCCAGUGGUGUUGCAGAUGUAUGACAGUGAAAUACAGAGUUUUUACAGAGAAUAGAUG